rnacentral:ncRNA from 1 species
UAAUAAUAAUAAAUUUCUUAUGGUUUAAAUUAAAUUUAUUAAAAAUUUAUUUUACAUAUAAAUUUUAGUGUUUAUUUUUAAUUGUUUAAAUAAUAAUUAAUUUAUUAAAUAUAGUAAUUAAUAUUAAAAAUUUAAGAAAUUAAGAUUUAGUAAUAUUUAAAUUAAUAACAAAUUUUGUGCCAGCAGUUGCGGUUAAACAAAAGUUAAAUUAAAUUUUAUUAGUAAUUAAUUAUUUAUUUAAAUUUUAAAAUAAUUAAAUAUUAAAUUAUUAGGUGAAAUUUUAAUUUAAGAAAAAUUUUUUUGGGGAGAUUUAAUAAAGUUUUUUUAAAAACUAGGAUUAGAUACCCUAUUAUUAAAAAUUAAAAAAAUAAUACUAAAUUAUUAGAUAAUUAUUUAUUGAAAUUUAAAUAAUUUGGCGGUAUUUUAGUUCAUUUAGAGGAAUCUGUUUAAUAAUUGAUAAUCCACGAAUAAAUUUACUUAAUUUAAAAUUUUGUAUAUCGUUGUUAUAAAAAUAUUUUUAAAUAAUAUAAUAAUAUUUUAAAAUUUAAAUAAAAAAUUAAAUUAGAUCAAGAUGCAGAUUAUAAUUAAGAAUAUAAUGGAUUACAAUAAAUUUAUUUAAAAUGAAUAUUAAUUUUAAAUAAUUAAUUGAAGGUGGAUUUAAAUGUAAUUUUAUUUAGUUUAUUAAAAUGAUUAAAAAUUAAAAUAUGUACAUAUUGCCCGUCGCUUUCAUAUAUAAGUUGAAAUAAGUCGUAACAAAGUAGAGGUACUGGAAAGUGUUUCUAGAAAUAU